rnacentral:rRNA from 1 species
AGGGCACCACCAGGAGUGGAGCCUGCGGCUUAAUUUGACUCAACACGGGGAAACUCACCCGGCCCGGACACUGGAAGGAUUGACAGAUUGAUGGCUCUUUCUUGAUUCGGUGGAUGGUGGUGCAUGGCCGUUCUUAGUUGGUGGAGCGAUCUGUCUGGUUAAUUCCGAUAACGAACGAGACUCUAGCCUAUUAAAUAGACGUCGGGUUCUCUGCACUCGACGGUCUUCUUAGAGGGACAAGGUGCUUUUAGCACCGCGAAACAGAGCAAUAACAGGUCUGUGAUGCCCUUAGAUGUCCGGGGCCGCACGCGCGCUACACUGAAGGAAGCAGCGUGUAACAACCUUGUUCUAACGAACUGGGUAACCCGUGGAACUUCCUUCAUGAUUGGGAUAGGGGUUUGCAAUUGUGCCCCUUGAACGAGGAAUUCCCAGUAAACACUAGUCAUCAGCUAGUGCUGAUUACGUCCCUGCCCUUUGUACACACCGCCCGUCGCUACUACCGAUUGAAUGGUUUAGUGA